rnacentral:lncRNA from 1 species
GAAAAAGAGUCCUGAUUCCCCUCUUUUUUUGUCAACAAAAAAAAGUCAUGUUUCACUUUUUAUACAAUUUUACCCUUUGUUAACUUAUCUAUUUAUUUGAUUUGCCAUUCAUUAACCCAUAACAAUAAAUGUUAAACACCCAAAUUAAAUCCUAAUCUAUUCCUUAAUUAAACCCAUAAUUCAGUCAAUUAAAACCAUUUCUCCCAUUUGUGGGUGAAACCCCAGAGCCUUCUACACAUAUUUGCGACGAAGAAUCACUGGGUGAAAACCAUUUCUACCAUUUCUAUGGUAUUUGAGUGAAAUCUCCGAUGGAUCUGUUGCCAUAUCGCCGCCUCGCUUCUUCUUCUUCACCCUAAGUGCCGUCUCCCUCAAAUCUCCGCCUCCAUCUCAGCCCAAAACCCCAAAUCGCCCCCCCCUCUGAGCCUGAAACCAUAAGGCUCUGCCUCCCUCAAAUCACCGCCUCCGGCUGGUCUCGAUCAUCUCGGAGCACCACGGGAACUCGCUCUCGCCCUACCUCUCGCCGUCGUCUGCAACGCCAACUCCUUCGUCCGCUCUACCUGCGUGAGUAGCUUCAAGGCGAAGCUGGCGCUUCUCGCACUGGUGAGGAGCUUGGUAGCGGUGGAUGGAGUGAUGCGGCAGGAGAAUAUCCUCAAUUUGGUUUGGAAUUUUCUAGAUUUGUUGCUGGAAUUUAUUGAAUUUCUAUACCCAUUAAUGCCCUAAAUUUGUUGAAUUUUCUCAAUCGAUUCGUUGAAUGCCAAAAUUUGUUUGUAGUUUGUUGAAUUUGCUCAAUCGAUUUCUUUACCCAUUUGCUGAAUUUGUUGAAAUUGCUGAAUCGAUUUCUUAACCCAUUUGUUGAAUUUGUUUACUCAAUCGAUUUCUUAAUUAAUAUCCUAAAUUUGUUGCAUUUGAUUGCUCAAUAAUGCCUUAAUUUGUUUGGAAUUUGCUGAAUUGCUUUACCCAUUAACAAAGGAUUAAGCAAGUAAAAUUGUCAUUAACACUACCCCUAUAAAUUUACUUCUCUCUCCACUUACACCUACUU